UACGUAGGGUGCAAGCGUUGUCCGGAAUUAUUGGGCGUAAAGAGCUCGUAGGCGGCGCGGAUAGUCGGCGGUGAAAGCCCGGAGCUCAACUCCGGGUCGGCCGUCGAUACUUCCGGGCUUGAGCACUGUAGAGGCAGAUGGAAUUCCGGGUGUAGCGGUGGAAUGCGUAGAGAUCCGGAAGAACACCGGUGGCGAAGGCGGUCUGCUGGGCAGUUGCUGACGCUGAUGCGCGACAGCGUGGGGAGCAAACAGG
rnacentral:rRNA from 1 species